rnacentral:lncRNA from 1 species
UUUGAAACAGGGUCUCACUCCAUCGCCCAGGCUGGAGUGCAGUGGCGUGAUGACAAUCACAGCUCACUGUAGCUUCAACCUCCCCAACUCAAGUGAAUCUUCCACCUCAGCCGCUGGAAUAGGAGUAUGUAUGUAAAGAGAAUGGUCCAACAAAGAUGGAGAAACUGAUGACAUAGGGUAUGGAGAAGGGAAAAAUGAAGAGGCUGGGUCUUGGAGAAAGCAAGAGGGGAUGAGACCCAGAUGUCAGGCAGAAGAAAUUGUGGGCAGUGAGAACAGAAUAAUGGAGAUAAUGAAGAAUAAUGGAGAAGGCAGAGAAGAUGAAGAUGGAUGCAGUGACGUGUAGAUAUUUUGAAUUAUUGGCCUGCCUCUAAGAAGUCUUGCACUGAUACUGAUAGUUCAGCGCUGUCACCUUUCCACCACCUGCGCCACGUACAGCGACAGAAGCUUUUCCUUAACUCUGCCAGAUGCUCAGGCUCAAUCUUCCCUGUGGACUUUUGGAUGUUUGGGUAAUGUGAAAGGUGGUUGUUUUCUUUAUUUGAUCAGGGCACAAGCAGUGUCUGGACUCACUUGGUCAGUUCUGGAUUUUUGUGGAAGGAAAACCCUCAUCAGAUUCUGAUGGGAGGGGUGAGGGUAGCUCCUGGGAAGAGAAGACAGACAGUUUUCAUUCUCACAAUGGCUGAGAUGUUCGAGAUGGGUGCCUCAGGUGCCCAGGUUCUGAGACGAUGCCCUUAGGUCCCUCGGGGUGUCCAUGUGCACAAUGGCUCCUUGUUUCUGUAUAUGAAACAUGAUCAGAUUUGACCUUCAUUACCCUUAAAUUUUUCUCUCAUAUUUUUUCUUUCUGUGUAACUUUGGAAGAAUCUUUUUCUAUUUUCUGGAUAAAAAUCCCUCAUUCUCCUGCAUUUUAGGUUUUAUUUCAGAAGUAUGCCACUAGAUAGUGGUCUCUAAGGGAUUCAUCAUUUAGUAAAAGUGUCUAAGCAGGCACCUGUAGUGUAUGCAUAAUUUUAUAAUUAAAUGCGUAUUCAUAUCUGCAUGUAUUUGUAUAUAUGCAAAUAAUAUAUUUGCAUAUGUGCCUAUUUAUGUAUUUGUGUAUAUGCAUAAUUCAUACAUAAU